rnacentral:rRNA from 1 species
CCUACGGGAGGCAGCAGUGAGGAAUAUUGGUCAAUGGGCGGAAGCCUGAACCAGCCAAGUCGCGUGAGGGAAGAAGGUACUGAGUAUUGUAAACCUCUUUUGCCAGGGGACAAAGGCGGCCACGGGUGGCCGUAAGCGGGUACCUGGAGAAAAAGCAUCGGCUAACUCGGUGCCAGGAGCCGCGGUGAUACGGGGGAAGCGAGCGUUAUCGGGAUUUAGUGGGUUUAAAGGGUGAGACGGCGGCGUGUCAAGUCAGCGGUAAAAUGUCGGGGCUCAACCCCGGCCGGCCGUUGAAACUGGCGGGCUCGAGUUGGAGAGAAGUAUGCGGAAUUCGUGGUGUAGCGGUGAAAUGCAUAGAGAUCACGAAGAACCCCGAUUGCGAAGGCAGCAUACCGGCUCCACACUGACGCUGAGGCACGAAAGCGUGGGUAUCGAACAGGAUUAGAUACCCCAGUAGUC